rnacentral:lncRNA from 1 species
UUCGGGAAUGAACGAUCUUGCUGUAAAAAUUUCAGUUAAUACGCUUGUAACAUCCCAACAUUGAGGUAUGUUUCGUAUGUGCUUUGAAUUAGUUGAGCCCUUACAAAUAAGUAUUCGCUCAGUUGAUAAAUGAGCUACCGGCCUUUGGCUAAGUUGAUCUUUUGUGUAUGAACAUAAGGGUUGGUAAUGUGAAGUAAGUAUGAUAUUGAGAAUUUGUGCAUAUGAAAUUAUCCGUUUAGUUAUAUGAAUGCUAUACUUUUGUUGUGCUGGAAUCCCUUGCUCAAAACUUACUAAGCAUAAAUUGCUUACUCCGUUUCUUUGAUUCUCUGUUUUAUAGAUUUUGGUUCUUCAGCUAUCGGACUCGGGAUUUUGAAGUCGAAGUCGCCCACACUAUCAAAGCCCCCCCCUUUUGGUACAAUUUUUGUUGAACUUCGAAAUGGCAUGUAUAGGACUACCCUUUUUGUUGUGGGUCAUGGACCCUUUGGAUUUGUAUAAUUUUGGAUAGCCAUGCGAAAAUGGCUUAUAUAUAUGUUUGAGCAUAAUGUUAUAAUCAUUUGGUAUGGAUAUGGUUAUUGAGAGGUGUGGAUAUGCUUAACAAGGAUUGGCCAU